rnacentral:rRNA from 1 species
GACGAACGCUGGCGGCGUGCUUAACACAUGCAAGUCGAGCGGUAAGGCUCCUUCGGGAGUACACGAGCGGCGAACGGGUGAGUAACACGUGAGCAAUCUGCCCUUCUCAUCGGAAUAACCAUUGGAAACGAUGGCUAAUGCCGAAUACGACUUCCUUUCGCAUGUCAGGAAGUGGAAGGAUCCGGCGGAGAAGGAUGAGCUCGCGGCCUAUCAGCUUGUUGGUGAGGUAAUGGCUCACCAAGGCGACGACGGGUAGCCGGCCUGAGAGGGUGACCGGCCACACUGGGACUGAGACACGGCCCAGACUCCUACGGGAGGCAGCAGUGGGGAAUAUUGGACAAUGGGCGAAAGCCUGAUCCAGCAACGCCGCGUGAGGGAUGACGGCCUUCGGGUUGUAAACCUCUUUCAGCAGGGACGAAGCGAAAGUGACGGUACCUGCAGAAGAAGGACCGGCCAACUACGUGCCAGCAGCCGCCGCAG